ACCGGCCACCAUCACCCCGAAGGGAUCCGGUCGUCCGGGUUAGGACUCUUAGCACCACUGGAUUAGCUUGGGCGGUUGUUCGCCGGUACGGGAAUAUCAACCCGUUGUCCAUCGACUACGCCUGUCGGCCUCGCCUUAGGUCCCGACUUACCCAGGGCGGAUUAACCUGGCCCUGGAACCCUUGGUCUUUCGGAGGACGGGUUUCUCACCCGUCUUUCGCUACUCAUGCCUGCAUUCUCACUCGUGUAGCGUCCACGGCUGGGCCACCUCCUAUGAUUGCACAAUGGGCGAAAGCCUGAUGCAGCAACGCCGCGUGAGGGAUGACGGCCUUCGGGUUGUAAACCUCUUUUAGUAGGGAAGAAGCGAAAGUGACGGUACCUGCAUAAAAAGCACCGGCUAACUACGUGCCAGCAGCCGCGGUAAUACGUAGGGUGCAAGCGUUGUCCGGAAUUAUUGGGCGUAAAGAGCUCGUAGGCGGUUUGUCGCGUCUGCUGUGAAAUCCCGAGGCUCAACCUCGGGCUUGCAGUGGGUACUGGCAGACUAAAGUGCGGUAGGGGAGAUUGGAAUUCCUGGUGUAGCGGUGGAAUGCGCA
rnacentral:rRNA from 1 species